rnacentral:lncRNA from 1 species
UCCUUCGUUGCGGCGCUCAAGUUCGUUGCCUAUCCGACCUCUUAUAUGUAUGCACUAUUGGAAACGUAUACUACUCCAUACGCUCUUUUUAUUUGUCGUGUUUUAGUUCAAAAAUUAACUAGCGAACGACAAAUAUUUGAAAACGUAGGUAGUAUACAGUAGGGUAAUUUGGUCUUAUUUUAUUUUCUUAGAGAGAUAAAAAAUAAUGUUCUUAGCUUUGAAAUUUCUGUAUUUUACAUAUAAAAAGAAAGCAGGUAAAUUGUUUUGCAUCCAUUUCUACAAGGGCACAAGCAAAUGGUCAAUAUAUUAUAUUUCGGGGAGUUGUACUAAGGCCUAAGGGAAUGUUUGAUUUUAGGGGCUAAUUUUUAGUUACACCAUUUUAUUCUAUUUUAGUUUCUAAAUUAUCAAAUAUAGAAACUAAAAUAAAGUUUUAAUUUCCGUAUUUGACAAUUUAGGACCUAAAAUAGAAGAAAAUAGAGGGACUAAAAAUAGUCCUUAGAAACCAAACAUCUUUGAUAUAUUGGAUUUUUUUUGACGUAUCCAUUUAUGCUUAAAUAAGCUAGUGUUGUUUUUCUCGAGUGCCCCGCCCCUCCACUUUAAAUUAUAAUAUGAUGUUCUGGCUUUUCUAAAUGUAUAAGUUAUGUUUAAAAAUUAAAAAGAACCGAGAAACCUAAGUACGUUAACACCACAUCAAUUUUCCACAUGGAUACCCCACAAAAAAUCCACAUGAACACCGUUGGACUGAGAUCUAUGUAUUGCUUUGGGCGUUUCGUUGGUGAACAUCAACGCAGCCGGUUUCGUUGAUGUCGGCAUGAGAAUAAUGAAGAUGAGCUGCGCGGUAGGAAAAGAUAUAUAUGACCUAUUGAUUAGCUUUUUUCAGAUUAGCUUUUCUGAGAAUAUAGCUGUAGAGAGAAUCUAACUGUAAGAAGAAUAUGUAUAUCGUGAGUAUUACGUGCGGAGUAAAAUGAAGUGGUCUAAAAAAUUCAAGAUCUAAAAAGUGAUGAAUUUCUACUAUCAUGACGACUCGACUGAUUCUAUGUUCAUAUUGAUUUUGAACAAUUUUUACCAAAACGAUUCUUAUAGAAGCGGGCUGAAAAUCAAGAACAUUUGUUAGGACGCAACAGUCUUUUGUGGCCAGAAUCUGAAAAAGCACAAACAAACAUGACCUAAGCUUAGUGUGUCUUAAAUCGUUGUCUACCUCCUAAUAAAGGCUUGUUCUUCGUUUAUACCGGAACGGUUCCGUUGGAAUGGUUAGUUCCAGCUAGAAUGAUAGGUUUAUUUAUAUUAGCAUUGACUAGCCGGAAUAGUCUCAGAUCCCAAUCCCUGUUAAACGAAACGGCUAACAAACGGUUUAAACCACAGAAUCUACUCCCUACAACCACAGAAAAGUGGAAAGCUCUGCACACCCUACUGUACUGUGCAUACAAGAAAAUUCGAGUUAGAUAGAUCUACAAUAUUAUCUUAUUUUAUAUAUUGAAAACAGGUAGGUGUGAAAUUGUUGUACAUGAGUUCAUCGCAAAAGGAGGGUUUAUUUUUUUUUUCAGAAUAUGUUUCAUGUGGUUCCAACUUCCAACCAUGUAUCCGGGUUCUGCAGUGGGUUCAGGUGAAUGCGAGGUCGAACAGACAACGAACUCGAGGCCCGAAUCCAAGGGCUGUUUACCUGACAAAGAGCCCGGUACGGAGCACGCAGCAUCGCCUUUUUUUUUGCAUAUAUAUAGACGUCUCUGCGCAUGAGACCUGUCAAUAUAUGAAACACAAACAGAAGAGAGAGAUCGUCAGUGUCACCAUGUUGCAAAGCUACGCUACUUCAAAAAAACAAGCAAAAUAGAUGUAUCUUUCCACGACCAGGCAUUUUCUUAACUACAAAGCAUGAAGAGCUAGCGAUGCUCUGAACUAAGACGUACGUCAGUAGAUCGAUCGAUGGUGUUUACCUCGAGACGUCGUCGUCCAAUGCUAGUAGCUCCAGCAAGCUGCUAGACUAGACGACAUGCACAGGAAGGACGAAGGCCAUGAGAGAUGCAGCAGCAGCAGGAUGGUUUGAUGCGUUUAUUUGU